AACAUACAGUUUUGGUCCUAGACUUGUUGCUAUUUAUAAUCAAAAUUACACAUGCAAGUAUCCACGCCCCAGUGAGAAUGCCCUCUAUUAAGGAGCAGGUAUCAGGCACGACCCGUCAGCCCAAAACACCUUGCUAUGCCACACCCACAAGGGUAAUCAGCAGUGAUAGAUAUUAAGCAAUGAGCCCCCAACCAUUAAAGCUCGACUUAGUUAUGAUUAAAAGGGCCGGUAAACCUCGUGCCAGCCACCGCGGUUAUACAAGGGGCCCAAAAUAGACAAAUAACGGCGUAAAUAGUGGCUAGAAUAUGUAAACAACCAAAAUGAUAAAUCAUGUCCUAAUAGUAAAACAUGGGACAAAUGAACUCCUUAAUUUUGUUCAAUCAACAAUUUGACCCCACGAAAACUAAGAAACAAACUAGGAUUAGAUACCCUACUAUGCUUAGUUGUGAAUAAGACAUACAACCACGAAUAUGUCCGCCAGAAAAUUACAAGCGAAAAGCUUAAAACCCAAAGGACUUGGCGGUGCUCCACACCAACUUAGAGGAGCCUGUCCUAUAAUUGAUACUCCACAAUAAACCUCCCCCUCUAUUGCCCCCCACAGCCUAUAUACCGCCGUCGUAAAUCUACCCUAUGAAGGAUAAACAGUAGGUACAAUAGCUAACUAGCUAAAACGUCAGGUCAAGGUGUAGCUCAUAAGAGGGAAGAGAUGGGCUACAUUCUUUAAAAUAAAUCAAACGGCAAAGUACUAUGAAACUAGCACUAUAAGGUGGAUUUAACAGUAAGGUUAACAAGAAAACUAACCUUAAACCAGCCCUGGAGCGCGCACACACCGCCCGUCACCCUCCUCAACACUUUAACCACUAUUAAUAAUUAAUAUGCCCACAAAGAUGAGGUAAGUCGUAACAUGGUAAGCGCACCGGAAGGUGCGCUUGAUUCACCAAAAAGUAGCUUAAAAAAAGCCUUCAGCUUACAACUGAAACAUGUUAGAACCUUUUUGUACUAAAAACGUAGCCCACACCUUUACACAAAUAUAGCCAUAAAAAAACAAAACAUUUGACAUAACUAGUAGAGGU
rnacentral:ncRNA from 1 species